UAAAUAGUCAGCAUACAUUGAUUAUAGACAGUGUUAAAUCUCAACAUUAUCUAUUAGACUUGAUGCAUCGUCGCUUCACACCGUUACUUAACCGCUACAAGACUAUAUAACAAGUAAAUACAAUGUCUUCAUACACCAUUGUAACUGAUGAAGGCUCAUCAAACGAAGAUCAGGAAAGUUCAUAUUCAGUAAAACCAGUUACACCAAAAACGAG
rnacentral:lncRNA from 1 species